UCAGAAGAGCUUCCGUAAGAAGACAAAUUAGGGGUUGGGUGAUAGAACCAACAUGUCUGUGAGACCUCAAAGUAUUAAUGGAAGGUAUUUCAAACUUGCUUUAGGGUAGAGCCCCCAGGGCAGUGUCUGUCCUGAGGGGUGAUGGGUGAUAUGGAUGGAGCUCAGGAUUUUUAAUCUCUGUUCUCUUAUGAUUUGAAGGCACGACAUCCAAAAUGAAGUAGCGUAUUUCAUGCCAGUUUUGGUGCUAACCUUGAGUUCUGUUUCUCACAGGGCAAAACUCUGCUGGGCUACAGAGGCUCAUCUGUGUAAGACAGUCUGGAAGCCCAGAGCUGCCACAAGCAACAGCUCUUGGGAACCUGUUUGGGAUUUAAAACUGGGGAGUUUACAGCCAGUUGUUCUGUCCUACAGCAUGGCCCAAAACCUGCUGCCUUUGGAUUCAGCUGCUUUCUCCUGUCCUUACCCCCCUUCCUCUUACAAUGAUGUAGUUGAGAAUAGAGCAGUUAUGAAAGAAAGUUCUGAGACAGCCUCAGCCAAAGUUUAGAGGAGAUGGGGAAGGCUAAACAGUCCUCCUAAAUCCAUCCCAUUGGACAUUGAAAAAUAGAUUUAAGGGAGAAAUCCUUCGUUCCCCAGGUGAGUGAUCCAGUUUGGGAUCCUUACACAAAUUUUGCAGGUCAGAGAAUGUGUUUCUCCGAAAGGCCAGGAUAUCUCCAAUUAAGGAACUGCAAAAAAAGCACUUGGUGCAUCCACUCUAGAGCUGGGACAGUUCACUGAAGGGUGAGUUUAAUGAUCAGUUUUCAAAUCAGCUGGAACUUGCUUUGAGGCGAGAAAAUGCUCUGCUUUUAAGCAAUUCUCAGUCUAUAAAUAUAAUUCCAACUUUUAAGUUGCUGUUUGAAGGAGACCAGAAUUGACAUCACGUCAGCAACCUCAGACCCAUCUUGUUUUGUCUCCCAGUGCUGCUGUUACCUGGCGAAGUGUCACGUGUUCAAUGUCUGGAACAACACUGUUCUAUAACUGUGAAUCUCCAGGUACAAACAAAAAUGCUUCAUCUUGAGGUUCUGCUUGAGAAGGAAGAACUCUUUAGCCAAAACUCAUUAGCCUAAUGAUGCUGCUGUAAUUUCCUACCCCAUUUGAAAGUUCUAACCUCACCUCUAGUGGAAUGUAUUGGCUGCUUUGUAAAGGGCUAAUGAUUACAAAAUACAAAUUUAUGCUAAAAGAAUUUGUAGAGGGCAAGGAGCAGAGGGAAUGACAGAGAAUGCCAGGGUGGAUAUUUUUUAAAAAAAGUAUGAAUAAAAGGCAAACAGUU